GAAUCCAUAGGUUAAUGAGGCGAACCGGGGGAACUGAAACAUCUAAGUACCCCGAGGAAAAGAAAUCAACCGAGAUUCCCCCAGUAGCGGCGAGCGAACGGGGAGGAGCCCAGAGCCUGAAUCAGUGUGUGUGUUAGUGGAAGCGUCUGGAAAGGCGCGCGAUACAGGGUGACAGCCCCGUACACAAAAAUGCACAUGCUGUGAGCUCGAUGAGUAGGGCGGGACACGUGGUAUCCUGUCUGAAUAUGGGGGGACCAUCCUCCAAGGCUAAAUACUCCUGACUGACCGAUAGUGAACCAGUACCGUGAGGGAAAGGCGAAAAGAACCCCGGCGAGGGGAGUGAAAAAGAACCUGAAACCGUGUACGUACAAGCAGUGGGAGCACGCUUAGGCGUGUGACUGCGUACCUUUUGUAUAAUGGGUCAGCGACUUAUAUUCUGUAGCAAGGUUAACCGAAUAGGGGAGCCGAAGGGAAACCGAGUCUUAACUGGGCGUUAAGUUGCAGGGUAUAGACCCGAAACCCGGUGAUCUAGCCAUGGGCAGGUUGAAGGUUGGGUAACACUAACUGGAGGACCGAACCGACUAAUGUUGAAAAAUUAGCGGAUGACUUGUGGCUGGGGGUGAAAGGCCAAUCAAACCGGGAGAUAGCUGGUUCUCCCCGAAAGCUAUUUAGGUAGCGCCUCGUGAAUUCAUCUCCGGGGGUAGAGCACUGUUUCGGCAAGGGGGUCAUCCCGACUUACCAACCCGAUGCAAACUGCGAAUACCGGAGAAUGUUAUCACGGGAGACACACGGCGGGUGCUAACGUCCGUCGUGAAGAGGGAAACAACCCAGACCGCCAGCUAAGGUCCCAAAGUCAUGGUUAAGUGGGAAACGAUGUGGGAAGGCCCAGACAGCCAGGAUGUUGGCUUAGAAGCAGCCAUCAUUUAAAGAAAGCGUAAUAGCUCACUGGUCGAGUCGGCCUGCGCGGAAGAUGUAACGGGGCUAAACCAUGCACCGAAGCUGCGGCAGCGACGCUUAUGCGUUGUUGGGUAGGGGAGCGUUCUGUAAGCCUGUGAAGGUGUGCUGUGAGGCAUGCUGGAGGUAUCAGAAGUGCGAAUGCUGACAUAAGUAACGAUAAAGCGGGUGAAAAGCCCGCUCGCCGGAAGACCAAGGGUUCCUGUCCAACGUUAAUCGGGGCAGGGUGAGUCGACCCCUAAGGCGAGGCCGAAAGGCGUAGUCGAUGGGAAACAGGUUAAUAUUCCUGUACUUGGUGUUACUGCGAAGGGGGGACGGAGAAGGCUAUGUUGGCCGGGCGACGGUUGUCCCGGUUUAAGCGUGUAGGCUGGUUUUCCAGGCAAAUCCGGAAAAUCAAGGCUGAGGCGUGAUGACGAGGCACUACGGUGCUGAAGCAACAAAUGCCCUGCUUCCAGGAAAAGCCUCUAAGCAUCAGGUAA
rnacentral:rRNA from 1 species